UUCAUUUAUUCUUCGUCAGUUGGUUUCGCAAGGGCUGGGUUACACAUAUAAUCAGUGCCCCCCUUUUUUUUUUUUCAAUAUUGCUGUAAUUUUUUCAUUCAAUUGAUGUAGUUGUGCUUCAUUAUUUUCAUAUAACUAAGAUUCUGAAUAAAGCCAAGGAUCUCUAUUGUUGGUUAUUGAUUGUUUGUAUUGUUUUUUGAAAUUGGGUUGCAGAAAACAGAAGAAGUGUUGCUGGGUUUUGGAUUUCAGUGAUUGAAGUUUUCAGUAUUGUGGACUGGAGUAUCUCCCUGUUUUUGCUUUGUUGAUUGGAUUUUGCCGCAUCCAGCAUCGACUUAAUUAGAAAUAAUCAAGAGAAGUAGUACAUGGUGGAGAGAUGGGUUCAGCCUUGGCAACAGAGGGAUCAAAUGAAUAUAAUUCAAGGAAGAAAGACAAGCUUGGUGAACCAAUAGCAGCUCCACGACGGCUUGUUUCUUCUUUGUGGAAAGCAUCUUGAACAGGGAAUGGAAGAUCCAUAGCUUGAUAGAAAUCUAAAGACACAAAAAGAAGAAGUGGCAGCGACGAUCCGAAUUGUUCUACACCCAAAAGGAUGUUGAUGUUGUGAGGUCAGAGUGGGCUAAGUUUGUGAUGAAGUAUCAUAUUGCAUAGCUGUGAUGGUUGUUCAAGGCAGGGCUCUUAUUUUGGUAUUUUGAUCACCUGCCUCCUGCUAGCUGGUUUUAGUUUUUGCUUUAGUUAUAGGCAUGGUUAAUGCGCAGUUGAAGGCAUUUUUGUUUUGGUAUUUUGAUGAGCCUCCUGCUAGCUAGUUUUAGUUUUUGCUUUAGUUAUAGGCAUGGUUAAUGCAAUGUGGACGCGUUUAUGUUUUCCGGGCUUUAUGCAGUUAUAGCCACUUAGGCAAUGUUAAUUCUUAUGUAAAUGUUGGGAUGAAUAUUGCUGAUGAAUGAAAUGGCUUUUGGAAUCAA